UGCUGAAAACGCCACCUCUAUUAUAACAAGUCCAAGUUCUGCAAUACCUAUAACAAACGUUUCUGUUGUAAUACCAGCAACCGCCACAACAUUAGCUCCAAAUGUUACAGCGAAACCAAAUUAUGAUGCGAAAAGAAGUGGAGGUUCGUCGACGGUUGUUGGUGUCGUGGUUACCCUGGUGAUCAUUGUUGUCAUAGUGAUUGUGAUAGUUGCAUACGUGUACCUCAAGCGAAAAAGAGGAGAAUCCGUGUGGCUCGUAGAUUACAUUUCCUCUAGUGGUAAGACGC